rnacentral:lncRNA from 1 species
CUAUAUUCGCCAAUAGUAUUUUUCACUCGAGCACUAUUUUUAACAGGUAUAAUAAGUUGAUUUUCAGAAGCGGCCGCACUGUUAAAUUCCUUUGCAAUAUGAUUACUCUAAAUCUCCUGUUUUAAUUCCAAUUACACUAUGAAUUAUUUGUAAAUUGUCUUUUACUUUGCUAACUCCAAUAAAAAUAGUAUUUCACGCACAACAUAAACUUUUCUCUUACAAAAUUUUUCAUACUACACAGCAUAUUCCUUGCCCUCUUGCUUUUUUUCUUAACAUUCUCUAUAUAUAGCAAUAUUGUUUAACAUCAUUCACAGGGUUCAUGAAAUAAAAAAUUGCAUAGUAUAUAGAAUAUUUUUUGUACUUUUGCUAUCUUUCUUAUUAUUACAAUGCAUGCAUCGUCCCCCCCAACUCUUUCUACUCAUAGCCCAU